rnacentral:rRNA from 1 species
GACGAACCGUGCAAACGUUGUUCGGAAUCACUGGGCUUAAAGGGCGCGUAGGCGGUGUGUUAAGUCGGCGGUGAAAUACUUCGGCUCAACCGGAGAAUGGCCGCUGAAACUGGCAUGCUCGAGGGAGGUAGAGGUGCGUGGAACUUCCGGUGGAGUGGUGAAAUACGUUGAUAUCGGAAGGAACGCCGGUGGCGAAAGCGACGCACUGGACCUCUUCUGACGCUGAGGCGCGAAAGCUAGGGUAGCGAACGGG